rnacentral:lncRNA from 1 species
AGUUUAGAGUUGAUGUUUAGGGGUUUAGGGUUUAGAGUUGAUGUUCCGUGGUUUAGGAUUUAGAGCUGAUGAUUUAUGGUUUAGGGUUGAUGUUUUAAAUUUAGAUUAGUUAACUUUACGUUAUUUUUUGUUUAAUUCAAGGGUUAAUAAAAGAACAUGAAAGAGUUUAAAUCUUGUCAUAGAUAUAGAUAUGGUUGAAAUUAACUUAUUUUAAAUUGAAGUUAUGAUUAUAAACAGAAGUUCCGAAACUAUUUGUUGUAAUUUAGGUUUAACUUAGAGAAAAAUAUCAUAUAAAAUUACCAACAAAACAAUAUAAAAUAAUAUAUUUGGUAUAUAUGCCCUUUAAGUUUUACAAAUAAAACAUGAUGUCCUAAGGUAAUGUUUGAAUUUUUCUUUAAUAGAACGCUCUGCA